AAAUGCGCUACGGGGAACGAUAAAAACAGCGCGGGGGUAGCGUUGCUGGCACGCGUUCAGCGUGUCGGCAGCGGUUGUCUGCAUGCACGACGGGGCCAACCACCACAACAAACCAACAUGCAGGCACAUACGCCUAUUCAAUCGACGUUCCGCCGUCCGGCCGGGGGAAGCAGAGGUCAAUGCGGGCGGCGGCGGACGCAUUUUUUAC
rnacentral:ncRNA from 19 species